UACGUAGGGACCAAGCGUUGUUCGGAUUUACUGGGCGUAAAGGGCGCAUAGGCGGCAUGACAAGUCACUUGUGAAAUCUCCGGGCUUAACUCGGAACGGUCAAGUGAUACUGUCGCGCUAGAGUGCGGAAGGGGCAAUCAGAAUUCUUGGUGUAGCGGUGAAAUGCGUAGAUAUCAAGAGGAAUACCUGAGGUGAAGACGGGUUGCUAGGCCGACACUGACGCUGAUGCGCGAAAGCCAGGGGAGCGAACGGG
rnacentral:rRNA from 1 species